rnacentral:rRNA from 1 species
UACGUAGGGUCCGAGCGUUGUCCGGAAUUACUGGGCGUAAAGAGCUCGUAGGGGGUUUGUCGCGUUGUUCGUGAAAACUCACAGCUCAACUGUGGGCGUGCGGACGAUACGGGCAGGCUGGAGUUCGGUAGGGGAGACUGGAAUUCCUGGUGUAGCGGUGAAAUGCGCAGAUAUCAGGAGGAACACCGGUGGCGAAGGCGGGUCUCUGGGCCGAUACUGACGCUGAAGCGCGACAGCGUGGGGAGCAAACAGG